ACUACGGGGGGCAGCAGUGGGGAAUAUUGGGCAAUGGGCGCAAGCCUGACCCAGCAACGCCGCGUGAAUGAAGAAGGCUUUCGGGUUGUAAACUUCUUUUCUCAGGGACGAAGCAAGUGACGGUACCUGAGGAAUAAGCCACGGCUAACUACGUGCCAGCAGCCGCGGUAAUACGUAGGUGGCAAGCGUUAUCCGGAUUUACUGGGUGUAAAGGGCGUGUAGGCGGGAAAGCAAGUCAGAUGUGAAAACCAUGGGCUCAACCUGUGGCCUGCAUUUGAAACUGUUUUUCUUGAGUACUGGAGAGGCAGACGGAAUUCCUAGGGUAGCGGUGAAAUGCGUAGAUAUUAGGAGGAACACCAGUGGCGAAGGCGGUCUGCUGGACAGCAACUGACGCUGAGGCGCGAAAGCGUGGGGAGCAAACAGGAUUAGAUACCCCAGUAGUC
rnacentral:rRNA from 1 species